rnacentral:lncRNA from 1 species
GCAGACCACGUUAGAACCUCGGCUCCUGGAGUAGCAGAACCUCGGCUUCAAUGGGACCCUCAUUUCAUAAAUGAAGAAACUGAGAUUCAAAGAGGGGAACUACCGAAGGUUACAGAGCGAGUUCGUGGGCUUCCCAGAUGACCACCAAGGUGGAAGGGAUGAUGAUGUCCAGGCAGAAGGGAGCUAGGCCGGCCCAGGCUUUUCCUCUAGGCACAGCGGACUCCAGGUUCAGCCUUCCCGGAUGGAGGUCCCCUCUGACUUCCGACAGUAGAUGACCCUUCUGACUCACAGUUCUACUGCUGGGAAAUGCCUCCAGAGCUGCUGCCCACCCUCUCUGCAUCCCUCCAGGUCACUGGGUGUUGAGUCAGGGGAAGCAGGGAUACACACGGGCGGGAAACUCAGGUCUCCUAAAUGUCAGAGCCUCAGGACUUCGGCUACUCAGAAGUAGCUCCCUCCUGGGCCACCAGGGAGCAGCAGGGCAGCCAGCAUCCAGACAUCCCCCCUGGGUUCUGCUGCUCAGAGGCUAGAUGGAGAACCAAGGUGGGAAAAAGGCUUAAACCACAGCGUGGGGAGAUUUAGGUUAGAUGGGUCAGAGGAAGUUUAGGACAAGCCUUGCCCUUUUCAGUUUCUGUCCAGCUUCAGCACAGCCACUGCUUCCUCUCUUUGGUUUUUACCCAUCCCCCUCUCUCCCAUCACCUCUAUCCCCUUCCAGCUUUCCUUUCCUUCCCUCCUUCCCAAACCCCAGAGUUUCUCAGGAUUAGCUGCCCGUGUGCCUAUCUCCCCCACCCCCAUGCUUUCCUCACUGUCUCACAGAAACAGGCAAACACACACACAUGCAUACAACCAUGAGCUGGCCCUGAGAGUUCUCUGACUGGACUGGGGUUGGAGCCCCAGCUCUUGUCCUGAGCUGAGGCCCUUCCCCCAGGUAUCUUGGGGCUUCCAUCAUUUCUCUUGACAGGAGCUGUGGGCGUCUGGGCAGAUGGGAACCUGGGGGAGGUGUGGGGAGCCCUCUCUGAGGCAGGAAGCUCCCACGCUACUGUAGUUAAAAUAAUCCGGCAGCAACUUGGGGCAGCCAUCUGGGAUGCCCAGAUCUUCCAGGACACCCAGCUCUCAACAACAACCCUAUAGGAACAAAUCAAAAACCUAAGAGAUACUUAUAGGCCCUGGAAAUGUCUCCCAAAAGUGGCCUGAACUUGAGCCCUGUUUCCUUUUAUCUUCUUCAGGUUAGCACUGGGCAUUGGCAUUUGCAAAAAAACUCUAAGCAUUAAGCAAAACUUGUAGGAGUGGAAGAUACAGCGUUCUGGACCUCCAGUCCUAAUACCCAGCCACACCCCAGCAGCUAUGCAUGGUUCCAUGGGAGAGCAGGCAUAGCCCAUCCUGCUGGCAUAUAGUCCAGCCAUAUCUUCCAAUGCCCACCUGGAGACUAAGCCGAGUUCUGCCCAGCAACAGGAGCUCAGAGCUCCAGAGAGCCUCUCCUGGGGUGCAGACUCAGGAGAUCUUAGCUCAGGAGCAGACUUAGCCUGACUUCCUCUUUUAUAGGAGGAGACAGACUUAGUUACAGAGGAAACCAGAGUUGUUAUAAAUAGCAAGGAAGGGAGAAACCUGCUAUGGAUUACAAACACGCCAUCAAUCUUAAAACAAACUAUUUUUAGUUUCAAAUAAUAACGAGAGUCUAAUUAAUGCUCUGUAUAACUUCAAAUGUGGGAUCUUUAUCUGCCUUUCUACUUUGUGAUGCUUUCUAAUACAGUAUUAGGGCCAAAGGCAGGAAGAGAUGUGGGCAAUUCUCAAUGUUACCAAAUCCUAGAUAUGGAAAGAACCUGAGAAAUUUAGUCCAGCCCUUUCAUUUUCAGUGAAGAAACUCAGGCCCAGAGAGGUAAAAGGACUUGUCCAAAGUUGCAUAGUAAGGUAGGGACUGAGCAGUGACUAAAAGCCUAGUCCCUGUACUCCAGAAGCAGGACAGUUUCCACAGCAGCACAAUAGAACCCAAAGGCUAAACAUCUGUGGUUGGGCAGUUGGUGAGUUUAUAGCCUGGAUAAAAGUCAGGUCUAAGCCAGGUGUGGAGGCUCACGCCUGUAAUCCCAGCACUUUGGGAGGCUAAGGCAGGUGAAUCACUUGAGGCCAGGAGUUUGAGACCAACCUGGCCAACAUGGCAAAACCUCAUCUCUACUAAAAAGUACAAAAAUUAGCCAGAUGUGACGGCACAUGCCUGUAAUCCCAGCUACUCAGGAGGCUGAGGCACGAGAAUCGGUUGAACCCGGGAGGUGGAGAUUUCAGUGAGCCGAGAUCGCACUACUGCACUUCAACCUGGGGGACAAAGCAAGACUCUGUCUCAAAAAAAAAAAAAAAAAAAAAAAAAUUCUGAAUGAAAUAGCAAAAGACAGCCCAGAAGCUGAAGUGUGGUCUUCUGAGUCACCGAGUUUUGGGUUCACAUCCCAGCUCUGCAACUGACUAGCUUUGUAACCCUGGGCCUGUGUGUAACUACUCCAAGCAUCAGCUCCCACAUCUCAAAAUGAGAAUAAUCACACUCACUUCAUUACAGGACUAUUAUGAGGUUUAAAUGAGGUAACGUGGGUCAAGCAUCCAGCACAGUGCUCAGCAAAAAAUAGAUGUUAAUUUCCUUCCCAUUUCCCUCGGAUUCUCUACCCCUUCUUCAAUGGAUUCUUAUCCUCUAACUGGACAGAAGGGCAGAUUUGUCAUAAAGCAGUCACGUGAGGGAUAAGAAGUCUCACAUGAGUGUGAAUGAGGCUGGGGGUGGGGGCGUAGUUUAUGGCAAUGAAGUUUGCAUGGCACAAGUGGUCAGUGUCAGAUCCAGAGGGCGGGAGAAGACAGAUUUGCAGAAAAUUAUCCAUCCUCUGCUAACCACUCAGUGACGGGCCUCGGGGUUCAGGGUCAGUGUUUACAGGGGAGGAGGGAGGCUGGGCAUGCUGGGUCCUCAUUGUACACAAAUACCCCGGGCCUCAACCUCACCCAUGUGCCACACUGUGCCAAGGGUGUUACAUAACAUUUCUCUUUUAAUCCUCACAACAAUCUAUGAGGCAAAUACUGUUCUCGUCCCCAUUUUGCAGAAGAGGAAAUGAGCUCAAAGGUCACUUGGCUAGUGUAUAGUCAUUAGUGCUGUCUCCAAAUAUUUCCGGCUCUCUGCCUUCUGGCACAAGGUAGGACUGCAUGUUCUCACUCUUUGAUGCUAGCUGUGGACAUGUGACCAACUUUAACCAAUAAAACGUGGCGGAACUGAUGUGCGUCAGCUCUAGUGGAAGCAUUAAGACUCUGGCACCCUCACACCUAUGUUGUUCAUAGAGUGUAAAUGAGAAAUAAACUUUUAUUGUUAAACCACUGAA